rnacentral:misc_RNA from 1 species
GGCGAUUCCAAUCUUCUACAAAGUUG